rnacentral:lncRNA from 1 species
UACCGACAAAUUUCAAUACUUGGUGAACGAGAUGGGCCGAAUGUUGAAGGAAAAACUAAGUCCAUUACAAAGACGAUUGGACCGAGUAGAGAAAAGAGCCCAACGAAAGCAAAUUUCACUGAGUCAAUAGACGGAGACAAGAUUAUCACGAAAGCAUACAUCUAAUGAUUACCUAAGAAGAGGUUUAUAUCAUUAUUCCUAUUCAAC